AUCACAUUGGUAUGAAUCUGAAAUCAGUAAACUAAGAUGCAUAAGAAACGUAAUUUUCUUUGUUUUCUUGUGACUGAAUUUAAUUCUAUCUUAAGACCCUAUUCUACUGAGGGGUACCAUGGAAGAUGAGAAAACAAACCACAAAAAAAAAAACACAAAUUUAUAUUUCACAUACUGUUCCUGCCAUGUUAUAAGGAUAUAACACUCAUUCAUUAAGACACGGGUUGCAUGUUUUCCCCAUUAUAGAUUAUUUAGGAUUAUGCUGGAUUUACAAAUGAAGGAAAUGAGCAAAGAAAUGCCACUGGAUAAAAGUGUUUUGCUUUCCAGAAGCAUUAAUUUAAGUGACUGGCCCAUGAUUAUCCAUCUGCUCUAUCAGUGAAAGAUCCCUAAAGACAAUGCUUGUCUUCUAUCCUUGUCAUACUCAGUACGCUGUUCGCAUUAACUAGUAUUUGCUCAAAAUGGCUCAAUUUGGGAUCCAGAAUAGACACAUGAACUGCAGUGAGUCACUGAUAGGAUCUGAGUGAAAAUUUUUUAUAUUGUUUUAAGGCUUAGGUAGAUGGACACAGUUUUCUAUUGUUUUGUUUACCUUUGUCUGGUUUCCCCUCCCAUCCCCACGCACAUGCUCACAUGCAUUUUAUUAAACAAAGAAGAGUUCCAGGAAGUUGGAAAUGUCAAAUGGAAACAGCCACCUUCACAAGAGCUGAGAAAAGAUGCUAUAUCAUUUAUCCUUGUGCAGACAUGCAAACCAGAUUUGAAUAGUUUUUAACUUAUUUGCCAAAUUUGCAGUAGAAAUUUCUGGUAAUUAGCAACUUGCUGAAAUUAAGUGAAGUAAUAGUUAACUUCACAAUGGUUUAAACCAUAUUUAAUUGUUUUGCAUGUUUUAAAAAUCAGAUUAUAAAUGAAAACGCAAAGAAAAAAAUCACCAACUUAUUAAUAGAGAAUUGACCAUAUUAUGCAACCAAUUAGAAGAUAUAAAUAUACAAAUCAAUCAUGUAUAAAAUGGAAGGUGCUGCAGAAUGUUAACACCGUACAGGCAAGUGCGUGACAAAUAAUAGUGACCUGUAAAGAUAGCCUAGAAGCAAAACGGUAGUUUGGCAGCUUUGUUGGAAAGAUUUUCUAGAAACAAAGAUGCAGGACCUUCAGUGCCUUUGUUAAUCAUCAGUUAUAGAUAGUUAAAUUUUAUAUUUACAAUAAUUCUGUGACUUUCAAAGUAAUUGUUUAUACAACUGCAUUGAACUUACUAGUGGCAGUAUGUUCAUGUGUACAUGUAUCUGUUUUGAGCUCUCAGGAGAGAGAAAAAAAUGUAAUGUGAGAAAGUGCAAGCAAGCAUAAGAAGGGAGAUAAGAAAAAUAAACUAUCUUAUAAGUAUAAUAAAAAUCACCCAUUCUUCAUGGAUAACCUAACUCCCCAAUUAAACAUGACAUUUCCUCCAAAAUAUUAAGCACCAAACUAGAUUUCUGUUUCUGAAGCCAAGGAAAUUAAAGAAAAAUAGAGUCAAGGAGGUAAGUAGAAGAGAAGAGACUUAAUUACAUUUAGCAACGGUCCCAAUCCACUUAGAUACUUACUAGGGUCCUCAGCACUAGUUCACUGCAGCAUUUGCAUUUAGCACUUUUAAAAUUGGGAUGAAAUGAGUUUUAUAGAUACUAGAGGAAUCAUUAUGAGAUCACAAAGAAGUACUGCGAUAUCAUAACUGAAGCUAGGAGAGGGGAAAGCAAAUUCAUGUCACAGAGGAAAGCAAACUUGCAUCCUCUCAAGUUGUCUUUCCAGUCAACAUUGCCUGCAUAUCACAUAUGGUGUGCAAAAGGGGACAGAUUAACGAAGUACUCAACAGGAAGGUAUAAUAAUCCAAAAUACUUCCUUUGUGACUCUAUCCAUUUCUGCCAUAUCCCAAGAAAAUGCAAAGGUAUCUUCAUUUCUAUGUCAUAAUAUACUUGGGCUGGGAAGGGGGGACAAGCCCAGAGUGAUUGUUCUCUUUUCUGCUGUUCAUAGUUGUGUAUGUGCGCACACAUGAGAGGGCAAGCCUGCACACGUUCACACCCCAUGAUAGCCUGACUUCACUGAUUACUUUCUAGAAUCAUUUUUCCUUUACGCGCCCUGGACAAGAGGGUGGACAGGGAACAUGGUAACAAAAACAAAGGUAAACAUCCUUCUAUAAUUGUAAAGAAGUGUUUUUCUGUUUCCUCUUAGGAGAAAUAAAAAUGCAUCAUUUAAAUUACCAAUUAGGAUCAUAUUGGGCUUGAUAACUUUUUUGGGGGAAACUUUAUAAGGAUUGCAAAAAUGUCAUGCAAAGAAAGAUAGUGAAAUCUCCUAACACAACAUGUUGAGAAGAAAGUUAAUGAUCAGUUUUUUCUGGUAUUUUUUGCACGUAAGCCUACUUGGAAGCACUUUGUAGGCCUACCUGACUUUCCUGAAAUGGCAGAGGGCUGAUUUGAAUGGUAUUAUCCUAUAGGCAUGAGAUGAAGCAGCUUGAUAGGCAUCUUAGAGCUGUUUCCAUGGCCUUAUUAAUUUGUAGCAGUCGUGUGGUAACAAGUUAAGCCAACCUCCCCGUCAGAAAGUCUUCAGUAAGUUUUUCUGGCUGCAAGUAGAAGGAUGGGUAAGACCCUGGGACAAGACCCUAGUGGAGGCUUUUAGGAGAUUGUAAGCAUUUCUGGAUGCUUAAAUUCUAGAUGCUACAUUCUAGAUGCUACAGGCCUAGAAUUUCACACUAAAGUAUUUGUCUGGAGAACUCAAAUAUAUUAUGGGUAUCUUAUUUGUAUUAUGUGUAAGGAAAUAUCAACAUGGGUUUGAUCAUUUAAUCCCAUAUUCUGAUUUUGUUCUAAGCAAAGACAGUUAUUUGAGUGCCAGCUUAGAAAAGAGAAUUCACUAUUACCUGGUAAAUGUGAAGGAACAGGACUUCUCAGCAUAUCUUUCUUGAUGGUAUUUUAGGCUCAAAGCUAAUGGAUUAACUUGUUGUCCUUUCACACAUUCUACCAUGUGACACCAUGCGACACCAGUGGCCGAAGGAGACAAUCUAAUUCACUUCCCUGACAGAGUUUUGGGUGAUGAUUAUAUUAUUCCAUAUCCUGAAAUGCAAGACUCUGCUUGUAUUGAUCUUAAACAUAUAAGCUAAACUCGGUAGCAAAAACAUAACCAAUAUAUGGUGGAGGAAACGACGAGGGCGGGUUUUCUAAAGCCAAGAAAUACUCACUAAAUAGGCUAAGACCAAGAUGAAAAGUGCAAACAACCAACAAGACAGGAGUAGAAAGAACGCAGGGCUCAAUCAAUGGUACUAUUAUCAGAAGGUAUAUUCCACUAUCUAUUGUUGUAUAACAAGCUACCCAAAACUUAGUGGCUUAAAAUCAUUGUUCCUAAUUCUGCAAUCUGGGCUGGCCUCAGCCCGGCAGUUCCUGCUACUAGUCUCAUCUGAAGUCACUCACAAAACUGCACCCCAUUGGUCCAGGAUGGUCUGAUUCAUAUGUCUGCUGGUUAGUUGGGACGGUCAGCCCAGCAUUUCAAAUCCCAUGGGUUCUUCAGAAGGAAGCUCAGGCCUCUUACAUGGCGAAUGUAGUGUUCCAAGAAGUCAAGCAUGGAGGCCACACAGUCUCUUGAGGCCUAGGUCAAAAGUCACACAUCAUUACAUGUACUGCAUUCUGUUGGUCAAAGCAGGUCACAAGGCCAGCCCAGGGUAAAGGGAUAACGAACUGGAUUCCACCUCUACAUGGAAGAAGCUGCACGUAAUAUGUGUCCAUAUUUAAAAUAUCACAGAAUUUAGAGGAAUAUGAAAAUAAUCAUGGCAAAUGUAGCAUAUUCUUAGGAGGAGUUAUUUUUAAUAUCCACCAUUGUAUAAUGCUCCUGGUAGGGCCUCUAUUUAAUGUUUUUUAAAAUGUCUCUACACAUUUUAUUCUUGACUCUCUUAAAAGCUAGUAAUGAGAAAUGUUUACAUUUUAAUAAUUCAGUAAACAUUAAGUACCUGUUGGUGUCAGGCACUGUGAUUUCUCUAUUGCUCUCAGAUCUAUCUGAAAGGAUGUAAAUGGAGCCUUUGAUGCUUUAUUAUAAUCAUUGUUAAGCAUUCUUCAUAAGUGUAAUAUUGACCCUUGAUAGAAAAACAGUUACUUCACAUUAUACUUACUCGUGAAAAACACAAGAAGUGCCCUUCUCUGUCAAACUCCUUCAAUUGUCACCCCUCCACUUCACUAGAGGUACAAAUAAUAGCACAUGAAAUUGUAGCUGGAAGGGAAGGGGAAGACUGGUAAGGCUUAUUUAAAUUGCAUUUCAAGCAUAGAAAACAUACCUUCUUCCCAAGAAAUGAAAGCUAGUAGAAUACUAAAUAAUAUACAUACUUAAAGGCAUAUUAUUUUAAGUGAUAUGUUAAGCAUUACAUUGAGUCUCUCAAACCAAAGUGAUUCAAUUGUCAUUACCAUCAACAAAAUGAAACUUAAAAAUGGAUCGUUAGCAGCCUCUUUUUAGUUUGUUAUAGGGUGUUCCUCUAAAGAGAGGGGAGACCAGAAAUCAGCUCAAUGCACAAGACACGGUGUUGCUGCAUCUCCAUUUUUCCACACCAAUUUCAGUCUUGCUAUUAUUUCCCUGUGGAGGCUACCUGAAAGCUAAAAGCCUGUACAAAAGUAACUUAGGGCAUGUCAUUUUUACUUACUAAAAGUAAGUUUUCCUAUAACAUGUACCACAAGAUAUUACUUGAACAGUUUUGGUUCAAGGAUCACCAGACUGUACAGACUACCUGAGUUUCAGAAGUGACAUUCUUUCAGGUGGCACUCUAUAAGUUGUCUGAAUCACUGAGUUAACAGUCUCUUCAUGUUUUCAUCUUAGAAAGGCAAUUUGAAGUAUUUUUAAAGAGGUUUAAGAAGAAGGCUUGAGAAAAAGUUAAAAAAAGUUUUUAACCCGUUGAAAAAUCAUUUUACAAUUUAUUCAAUUCCCUGAGUGUUUAUUGCAGACCUACUGUGUACACAAGCAUGGUGUACCUGGCAGCUGUGAGAAUAGCAAAGACAUGUUAACAGUCUCUGCACCUAAGGCACUUAGAAUCUAGUUAGUGAAACAAACAUGAGACGCUUAACUCUAAAUGAUUCAUCAGCCUGGUAUUCAAGACCUUCUAUGAUAUGUCUCCAAUAGAUAUUUUCGGUCUAUGUUUUCCCCUGCUCCUCUCAUCUACCCUAUACUCCAUCCUAAGUGAAUGAUACUCUUUUCUCUGACUGUAUCAUACCUUUCCUCCCUCUGUGCCUUUGUUGAUCACUUUCACCCUAGCCACUCUUCAAGGCUCAUUUCAAACACAAAUUUCUUCAGGAAGACUUUUCUCCUGAAUACACACACUGCUACCUCAAAUCCAAAGCUAUUUCUCCUUGUUUAUCUCCCAUUGCAGCCUUAAUUCAUCUUUGGGCUAGGGUUGUCUCUGUGUCUUGUCUCCAUCAUUUGCCAAAUUUUAAGACCUGAAAGUAGAGACAUCAUUUUGUUCUAUCUCGUAAUGUACCUUGCAGUUAAUAAGAGGCAAAAUAACUGUUUAGUUGAAAGAAGAAUGAAUGUGAGGAGAUAUUGUGACCAUCUGCUAAAAUGCAUAGGUAACAAUGUUGGAAAAGAGGAAGCUCUUUUUUCUUUGAAGUUUGAUAAAAAAAAAUAUAUAUAUAUAUAUAUAUAUAUAUUCUUAAAAAAUUAAUCACUUGUCCGAGAUUUAACAGCUAAACUAACAUUUACUGUAUGUUCAUUAUUCUGCAUAAUGUGUUUCUCAUACAUGUAAAAGCACAUUAUUUAGUCAAAACUAUCAUAUUAAAUUUCUCCCGUAAUUCCUAAGGGCUGUCAGCUGCUCAUUAAAUCUUGAUUUUCUGUCAGGAGGAAUUAAUAAUCUUGCCUUUGAGUGAAUUUAGAAGCAAUGAGGGAUUGAGCAGGAAUAUUUGAAUACCCUCUCGGUGGUAAAUUGGAUAUCCAAUUUUCAACUUAGUCUUAAUGG